GAACUGGCACAGGCGCUUUAGAGGCUUCGUUCAGGCCGUGACUUCCCAUUGGUUGGCGAGGACGCCCAAUCAGCGCCUCUGGGUGGGGUCGCAAGUGUAUGGGAAGAGAGCGGGUUGAGACCGGAUGCUGGUUGCAGGGGGAGCAUGAGAAUAGGAGUGUGAGGGCGUGGAGGAAUUGUAAGAACGUUGUUCCCCGACCACACCACUCAGGAUGCUCCUCCUGCUUUUGGUGCCUUCGUGGUUACAGGCUGAGGGAAGAAAGCAAGAUCUGAUAUGCAGUUUCAGAGAACCAACCUUGUUCUAGCAGUACGUCUAGGUCGCCCACCCAGCUGUUUGUAUAUUCAAAUCAAUCUGCAGAUAUACUACUCUGGAAACUUGCGUGUUUGUAAUGGAAACUGAAAAAUGGGUUCCUUUCAUUUGUUUCCUACGGAGGAGCAAUAAAGAUGAUGCCACGUGA